UACUUUACCCUUACAAAAUACACAGCAGUAUGUGUACGUUUAGUACUGAACUGUUGACCCGGAACGGUGAAAAGACAACAAAAAAGUUGUCUGACGAGCCGCAUCAAUUUCUAUACCCUAAGCCACAAACAAGAUGAACUCUGCAGCGAAAAUAACAUUUUUUAACCACCUGUUUGCUGUGCUUUGGAUGCUUCUAGCGCUGGCUCGGACAACAUGGGGUGAAGACUCCUUUGCUGACCCCAGCAUCAUGCGUCCCCCCGGGUUGGACAGUGUGGGGCUGAACGUUGUGGUCGGGUCGUCCGUGUGUUUGGGGGUCGUCGUCAUCGGGGUGAUGGCCGCCAUCUUCUACCACCUGGUCACCAAAUAACGCAGGAGUGAAUUUCGUCUUCCUUGAACACCAGAACAGUGCUCAAACAUCGCAGAAGAGAGAAAACACUUCUUUCAUUUAUUCAUCAACGGAGUACAAUACAGGACAGAGGGGUGAUACACUCUACCAUUACGCUAAUAUUCACAUCACCUCUCAAAAAAAAAAAAAAAUAACAACUGACA